rnacentral:rRNA from 1 species
ACAUGUCUUUUUGGUUAUUUAAUAUAAAGUCUGACCUGCCCACUGAAUAUAAUUUUAAAGGGCCGCAGUAUUUUGACUGUGCAAAGGUAGCAUAAUCAUUAGUCUUUUAAUUGAAGGCUGGUAUGAAUGGUUGGAUGAGGUACAAGCUGUGUCAUAAAAAUUAAUAUUUGAAUUUACCUUUUUAGUCAAAAGGCUAAAAUUUUAUUAAAAGACGAGAAGACCCUAUAGAGCUUUAUAUAGUUAAUAUUUAGAUUAUUAAUAUUUUUUAAAUUUAAUUAUUUUAUUAUAUUUUGUUGGGGUGACAAUAAAAUUUAUAAAACUUUUAUUAUUAUUAUUCAUUAAUUUAUGUUUAAAUGAUCCAAUUUUAUUGAUUAUAAAUUUAAGUUACCUUAGGGAUAACAGCGUAAUUUUUUUUGAGAGUUCUUAUCGACAGAAAAGAUUGCGACCUCGAUGUUGGAUUAAGAGUAAUUUUGGGUGUAGAAGUUCAAAGUUUAAGUCUGUUCGACUUUUAAAUUCUUACAUGAUC